UCUUCUCUCUCGCUCCCUCUCUCGCACAUCAAAGUCAUCAGCAUCGACUGUCAUGCUCAGGCGUCUCCCUCUCUCGCUCGUACGCGCACAGCAUCAAUAUAACGCAUACACUCACACUUAGGCACGCACACGCGUACAGACAGCAAAAAGGGAUCAGUGCAUUUGCAGCAGUCAAACAACAAAGAGCGAUCGCAUAGGAAUUUUCUCCUUGCGCACACACACAUAGGCACCCAUACAGACGAACACACGCAAACACCAAAUGACCAUGGGCAUGGGGGGAAAUAGAUAUAGAAAUGAAAAUUCUUAAAAGUUAGUAAACUUACUAACUAAAUUGUACUGGCCCUAACCCCACUU